rnacentral:rRNA from 1 species
UACGUAGGGGGCGAGCGUUGUCCGGAUUUAUUGGGCGUAAAGAGCGUGUAGGCGGCCAGGUAGGUCUGCUGUGAAAACUCGAGGCUCAACCUCGAGACGUCGGCGGAAACCAUCUGGCUAGAGUCCGGAAGAGGAGAGUGGAAUUCCUGGUGUAGCGGUGAAAUGCGCAGAUAUCAGGAAGAACACCAGUGGCGAAGGCAGCUCACUGGCCCGGUACUGACGCUGAGGCACGAAAGCGUGGGGAGCAAACAGG